GAAAAUGAUCCCGAAAGGGAUCUGAAAAUCUCAUUAUUUAGAUGAGAGCGUGAGCAAGAUGGGAAUCUUGAUUUUU
ensembl:snoRNA F56A12.6 ncRNA